UCAGUCCGCCUGUCGGUACCUCUGCAGGGAUAUCAAAAAAAACUACUUCUAGUCCCCCAUAAGCUAUGCAUUCCUCUGGGAAUUCAGUAAACCAAGGUUGCCAUAUCUUAUAGAAUCCUUCUAGGUUUAACUGAGAAAUGGAGUAACCUUUUUCCAUCUUAGCUAUAUGGUCGAUCUGUUUUUUAAUCUCACCCUAACUUAUAUGACUUAGAAUUUUC